GACGAACGCUGGCGGCGUGCUUAACACAUGCAAGUCGAACGGAAAGGCCCUGCUUUUGUGGGGUGCUCGAGUGGCGAACGGGUGAGUAACACGUGAGUAACCUUCCCUUGACUUUGGGAUAACUUCAGGAAACUGGGGCUAAUACCGGAUAGGAGCUCCCGCUGCAUGGUGGGGGUUGGACAGUUUCGGCGGUUGGGGAUGGACUCGCGGCUUAUCAGCUUGUUGGUGGGGUAGUGGCUUACCAAGGCUUUGACGGGUAGCCGGCCUGAGAGGGUGACCGGCCACAUUGGGACUGAGAUACGGCCCAGACUGCUACGGGAGGCAGAAGUGGGGAAUAUUGAACAAUGGGCGGAAGCCUGAUGCAGCAACGCCGCGUGCGGGAUGACGGCCUUCGGGUUGUAAACCGCUUUCGCCUGUGACGAAGCGUGAGUGACGGUAAUGGGUAAAGAAGCACCGGCUAACUACGUG
rnacentral:rRNA from 1 species